rnacentral:rRNA from 1 species
UACGGAGGGUGCAAGCGUUAUCCGGAUUCACUGGGUUUAAAGGGCGCGCAGGCGGUUUUGUACGUCAGUGGUGAAAGGCUUAAGCUUAACUUGGGAACUGCCAUUGAUACUAUAAGUCUUGAAUGUUGUUGAGGUUUGCGGAAUGGGUCAUGUAGCGGUGAAAUGCAUAGAUAUGACCCGGAACACCUAUUGCGAAGGCAGCAGGCUAAACAAAUAUUGACGCUGAGGCUCGAAAGCGUGGGGAUCAAACAGG